ACACUGCCUAAUUAGAGAGGAACAGGAGUAAUUAGCUCAAAAUCCCAAAAAUAAUAUAAGAAAAUCCGAUUUCAUUUGGUAAAUUGCCGCAAAAGCCUAACCUUUUCCUUUUUGUUUUUCCAAUUUCCAUUCUUACCUUUGCCUUUUGUCCAUGAUCUUUGUUUGUUUUCUAGAUUGCUCUUCUUCUUACGAUCAAGUCCGCCAUCAAGGGCAAUUGCAUUCCUGAGAUCAGAAAUUCCCCACCUUUUUGAUGGAAUAAAAACCAUGAUUUAAUGGCUUCUUAAUCAUUUCGGGUUGCUCUCUCAAAUAAAAAAUCGAUUGGUUUCUGAAUUAGUGUAAAGAUUGUGGUUCUGUUGGAUGUUGGGGAAUGAUGAUGGAAGGGUUAGAAAGCGGAUCAGAGUUGCGAAAGGAGCUAGAGAGAGAACGUCGUCGUAUAAGGGACCGUCAGAGAAGGCAGUCUAUGAGCCUUGAGGAGAGAGAAAAGCAUCUGGCAAGACGCCGGAGAAACUAUCAGCUGCGGAGACAGAGAGCUGAAACUGCUCGAUUGAACCCUGCACCUCCGAUUCAACUUCAACAAACGAGCAUUUCUUCGGUUCAAUUGCCCUUGAACAAUGCCGCAACUUGUGUUUCAGAUGUUAGUCCUCACUUUGAUGAUGCUGCUGCUGCGGAGCUUAUCGGAUCCAACCAUGGACAAGAAAGACCAAUGCUGGACACAAGAAGCAGCCAGAGUUUGGAAAUCCCGGCUCACAAGUUAGCUAUUUUGCCUGGAAAGGUACGUUUGAAUCGCAUAAAACAUCUGGCACGAGCAAUGAAUGAUCCUGUUGGUGAUGGGGUUGCAGUGGGUGGAAUGAUGAAGGAAAAUGGAGCUUCUGAUUGUUUAGUAUCAAGAGGAUUGCGACUAAAUCGUGUUAAACGUCUUGCUCGGGCACUAAAUCCUGCUGCCCAAGAGACUGUUAACCAAAGCCAUGAAAGCAUAACAGAAGGGUGAACAUCUCUGUUGUACUACUGAAGACUUGACAGCCAUUUUUAAAUCAAUCAUAUACAAAGGUGAAAUUUGUUUGGCUCCUCCCCAGAUUCUUUCAAAUGAAGAUUUGAUUUGAACUAAACCUCGUUAUCCUGCGAGAUUGCAGGGUGGAGAAAAAGGAUGAUUGCAAUAGCAGAGAGGAGCAUCACAGAUGUCGAAAACUCGCUGGAAAAGAGGGUCAGGGAUAUUCAGAAUUAGAAUUGCGUGACGAUGAGAAGAGCCAUCUGAUAGGACUAGAUUUUGACAUUUCAAGAGAGGGGUGAAAACAAUAUAUAUAUAUAUAUAUAUAUAUAUAUAUAUAAUAUGUUUUGCUCUCUCUGUGCAAAUCCUAUUUCUUGAGCAACAAUCUAGAAUUUGUAUAUUUUUUCUUCAUCUUUUAACUGUUUUCCAAUCCCCCUCCCCUCCGAAAUUUGUACCUGACUUUUUAUUUAUUGGUAACGGUACUAUCACCUCUCUUGUUUCCAUCACUUGGAUCAG